rnacentral:lncRNA from 1 species
CGGCUUUAGGUAGGGAGAAAGCUAGGUCUAGGAUGCAUGGUGCAUGGUCAGAGAAAAGCGGUGGAAGGAAGGAAGCUAAGGCGUUUGGGUAGGUGGCUAGGGUUGGAAGUUGACUAACAGCCUGUCUAAUUUCUUUGAGAUGGAACUUUCUGGUUGACUGUUAGUCCAGGUGUGGUGGAGGCCAAUAUAGUGGAGAUCAAAUACUCCCAAUUGGAGGUAAACGUCAUGGAGUUGAUACAUCAGCGAAUCAGGGGUGGUUACAUGAGAGCCUGAACGGUCAGAUAGGUGGAGGGUCUGGUUAAGGUCACCACC